AUUGAACGCUGGCGACAUGCCUUACACAUGCAAGUCGAACGGCAGCACGGGUGCUUGCACCUGGUGGCGAGUGGCGGACGGGUGAGUAAUACAUCGGAACAUGUCCUGUAGUGGGGGAUAGCCCGGCGAAAGCCGGAUUAAUACCGCAUACGAUCUACGGAUGAAAGCGGGGGACCUUCGGGCCUCGCGCUAUAGGGUUGGCCGAUGGCCGAUUAGCUAGUUGGUGGGGUAAAGGCCUACCAAGGCGACGAUCAGUAGCUGGUCUGAGAGGACGACCCGCCACACGGGGACUGAGACACGGCCCAGACUCCUACGGUAGGCAGCAGUGGGGAAUUUUGGACAAGGGGCGAAAGCCUGAUCCAGCAAUGCCGCGUGUGUGAAGAAGGCCUUCGGGUUGGAAAGCACUUUUGUCCGGAAAGAAAUCCUUGGCCCUAAUACGGUCGGGGGAUGACGGUACCGGAAGAAUAAGCACCGGCUAACUACGUG
rnacentral:rRNA from 1 species